UUUUAACAUAAAAAUUAUACACACACACAUGUGCAAACAUAUCCAAGCAGAAUCAACUGGCAGGAAUAAUAUAUGUCAAAGACUAAAAGAAUGUACCUCAAUGUAGAAUUACAGAUAACUUUAUUUCUCUUUUGUUUUUUAUGUUUCUACAACACACAAGUAUUAUUUAUCCAACUUCCAUAUAAUCUGACAAUUUAUCAUCUGGGAUACCACCUUUGUUCAAGCCACUGUCACCUUUUACCUGACAUGGUCACUUGGAUCCCCCUGAAAUUCCAUGAGGAAAUAAGAACUGGAGGAGCCUCUCUUUUGCAAUGCUGGACUUGAAAGGAAAGUAGGCAGGCCCAGAGAAGAGAAAUGGAAGAUUGCCUAUUUGAAAACUGCUGUUGUGGCUCAAUACCUUCACUUUUUCAAUAAGAAGUUUGAGAUUUAGGAAAAGCAAUUGCCUUUGCUUACCCAGCCAGGACUAAAACAAGGAUAUUCUUAUUCAUAUCAGAAGAAAGUUUCCAAUAAAAAGCAUCCCUAGCCAAAAGUGUCA
rnacentral:lncRNA from 1 species